GCGAGCGGCGGAUGGGUGAGUAACACGUGGGGAACCUGCCCCUAAGUCUGGGAUACCAUUUGGAAACAGGUGCUAAUACCGGAUAAUAAAGCAGAUCGCAUGAUCAGCUUUUGAAAGGCGGCGUAAGCUGUCGCUAAGGGAUGGCCCCGCGGUGCAUUAGCUAGUUGGUAAGGUAACGGCUUACCAAGGCGACGAUGCAUAGCCGAGUUGAGAGACUGAUCGGCCACAUUGGGACUGAGACACGGCCCAAACUCCUACGGGAGGCAGCAGUAGGGAAUCUUCCACAAUGGACGCAAGUCUGAUGGAGCAACGCCGCGUGAGUGAAGAAGGUUUUCGGAUCGUAAAGCUCUGUUGUUGGUGAAGAAGGAUAGAGGUAGUAACUGGCCUUUAUUUGACGGUAAUCAACCAGAAAGUCACGGCUAACUACGUGCCAGCAGCCGCGGUAAUACGUAGGUGGCAAGCGUUGUCCGGAUUUAUUGGGCGUAAAGCGAGCGCAGGCGGAAAAAUAAGUCUAAUGUGAAAGCCCUCGGCUUAACCGAGGAACUGCAUCGGAAACUGUUUUUCUUGAGUGCAGAAGAGGAGAGUGGAACUCCAUGUGUAGCGGUGGAAUGCCGUAGAUAUAUGGAAGAACACC
rnacentral:rRNA from 1 species